GAUGAACGCUGGCGGCGUGCCUAAUACAUGCAAGUCGAGCGAACACACGAGGAGUUUGCCCCUCUGACGUUAGCGGCGGACGGGUGAGUAACAUGUGGACAACCUACCUAUAAGACUGGGAUAACUUGGGGAAACCGGUGCUAACACCGGCGAAUAUCUUGAACCGCAUGGUUCAAUAGUGAAAGACGGUUUUGCUGUUACUUAUUGGUGGAUCCGCGCCGCAUUAGCUAGUUGGUAAGGUAACGGCUUACCAAGGCAACGAUGAGUAGCCGACCUGAGAGGACGAUCAGCCACACUGGAACUGAGACACGGCCCAGACUCCUACGGGAGGCAGCAGUAGGGAAUUUUCCGCAAUGGGCGAAAGCCUGACGGAGCAACGCCGCGUGUGUGAUGAAGGUCUUCGGAUCGUAAAGCACUGUUAUCAGGAAAGAACAACUGUGUACGUAACUAGUCGCGUCAUGACGGUACCUGAUCAAUAAGCACCGGCUAACUACGUG
rnacentral:rRNA from 1 species